rnacentral:rRNA from 1 species
CCUACGAGUGGCUGCAGUGGGGAAUAUUGGACAAUGGGGGGAACCCUGAUCCAGCGACGCCGCGUGAGUGAAGAAGUCUUUCGGUAUGUAAAGCUCUAUCAGCAGGGAAGAGAGAAAUGAGGGUACCUGAGUAUGAAGCACCGGCUACCUACGGGCCAGCAGCCGCGGUAAUACGAAGGGGGCACGGGUUACCCGGCUUUACUGGGUGUAAAGGGGGAGUAGACGGCGAGGCAAGUCUGAGGUGAAAUGCGGGGGCCCAACCCCCGAACUGCUUUGGAAACUGUAUGGCUGGAGUGCAGGAGAGGCAAGUGGAAUUCCUAGUGUAGCGGUGAAAUGCGUAGAUAUUAGGAGGAACACCAGUGGCGAAGGCGGCUUACUGGACUGUAACUGACGUUGAGGCUCGAAAGCGUGGGGAGCAAACAGGAUUAGAUACCCCGGUAGUC